AUACGUAGGUGGCGAGCGUUGUCCGGAUUUACUGGGCGUAAAGGGAGCGUAGGCGGAUUUUUAAGUGAGAUGUGAAAUACUCGGGCUUAACCUGAGUGAAAACUGCAUUUCAAACUGGAAGUCUAGAGUGCAGGAGAGGAGAAGGGAAUUCCUAGUGUAGCGGUGAAAUGCGUAGAGAUUAGGAAGAACACCAGUGGCGAAGGCGCUUCUCUGGACUGUAACUGACGCUGAGGCUCGAAAGCGUGGGGAGC
rnacentral:rRNA from 1 species